rnacentral:rRNA from 1 species
UGGGGAAUCUUGGACAAUGGGGGCAACCCUGAUCCAGCAAUGCCGCGUGAAGGAUGAAGCAUCUAGGUGUGUAAACUUCUGUCAGGGUUUAGGAAUCCAUGACCAGACCCAAAGGAAGAGCCGGCUAACUCUGUGCCAGCAGCCGCGGUAAUACAGAGGGCUCGAGCGUUAAUCGGAAUCACUGGGCUUAAAGGGUGCGUAGGCGGACGGGUAAGUAUCUUGUGAAAUCCCAGGGCUCAACCCUGGAAUUGCUCGGUAGACUGCCCGUCUUGAGCCCGACAGGGGUCGUCAGAACGCUAGGUGGAGCGGUGAAAUGCGUAGAUAUCUAGCGGAAUGCCAAAGGUGAAGACAGACGACUGGGUCGGCGCUGACGCUGAGGCACGAAAGCGUGGGUAGCGAACGGGAUUAGAUACCCCCGUAGUCC